rnacentral:rRNA from 1 species
CAAUAAGCGGAGGAAAAGAAACCAACAGGGAUUGCCUUAGUAGCGGCGAGUGAAGCGGCAAAAGCUCAAAUUUGAAAUCUGGUACUUUCAGUAUCCGAGUUGUAAUUUGUAGAAGCAACUUUGGUGAUGGUCUUUGCAUAAGUUCCUUGGAAUAGGACGUCAUAGAGGGUGAGAAUCCCGUAUAUGGUGAAGAACCCACACUAUGUAAAGUGCUUUCGAAGAGUCGAGUUGUUUGGGAAUGCAGCUCAAAGUGGGUGGUAAAUUCCAUCUAAAGCUAAAUAUUGGCGAGAGACCGAUAGCGAACAAGUACUGUGAAGGAAAGAUGAAAAGAACUUUGAAAAGAGAGUGAAAAAGUACGUGAAAUUGUUGAAAGGGAAGGGAUCUAAAUCAGACAUGGUAUUUUGUGAUCAACAGUCUUUCGGGAUUGUGCACUCGCAUUUUACUAGGCCAGCAUCGGUUAGAAGGGGGUAAAAAAGAUUUUGGAAUGUGGCUCCUCGGAGUGUUAUAGCCAAAGUUAAUUGCCCCAUUUCUGACCGAGGACCGCGUCUUUUGACUAGGAUGCUGGCGUAAUGGUUUUGAUCCAC